rnacentral:rRNA from 1 species
UAAGUACGGGGAAAUCCUAUGACGAAAGCACUGAAGGCGAUACUGG